UCUGGGAGGGCAAGUCUGGUGCCAGCAGCCGCGGUAAUUCCAGCUCCAAUAGCGUAUAUUAAAGUUGUUGCAGUUAAAAAGCUCGUAGUUGAAUUUCGGGAUCAAAUUGUCGGUCGUGCCUCGGUACGUACUGGCGUUAUUGGUUCCUCCCUUCUGAAGAACCGCGAUGUCAUUAAUUUGGUGUCGCGGGGAAUCAGGACUGUUACUUUGAAAAAAUUAGAGUGUUUAAAGCAGGCUCGCGCUUGAAUACAUUAGCAUGGAAUAAUGAAAUAGGACGUUUGAUUCUAUUUUGUUGGUUUCUAGGAUCGACGUAAUGAUUAAUAGGGAUAGUUGGGGGCAUUAGUAUUCAAUUGUCAGAGGUGAAAUUCUUGGAUUUAUUGAAGACUAACUACUGCGAAAGCAUUUGCCAAGGAUGUUUUCAUUAAUCAAGAACGAAAGUUAGGGGAUCGAAGACGAUCAGAUACCGUCGUAGUCCUAACCAUAAACUAUGCCGACUAGGGAUCGGAUGAUGU
rnacentral:rRNA from 1 species